rnacentral:rRNA from 1 species
UACGGGAGGCAGCAGUGGGGAAUAUUGCACAAUGGGCGCAAGCCUGAUGCAGCCAUGCCGCGUGUAUGAAAAAGGCCUUCGGGUUGUAAAGUACUUUCAGUCGUGAGGAAGGUGUUAAGGUUAAUAACCUUAGCAAUUGACGUUAGCGACAGAAGAAGCACCGGCUAACUCCGUGCCAGCAGCCGCGGUAAUACGGAGGGUGCGAGCGUUAAUCGGAAUUACUGGGCGUAAAGGGCACGCAGGCGGUUAAUUAAGUUGGAUGUGAAAUCCCCGGGCUUAACCUGGGAAUGGCAUUCAAGACUGGUUAGCUAGAGUCUUGUAGAGGGGGUAGAAUUCCAUGUGUAGCGGUGAAAUGCGUAGAGAUGUGGAGGAAUACCGGUGGGCGAAGGCGGCCCCUGGGACAAAGGACUGACGCUCAUGUGCGAAAGCGUGGGGAGCGAAACAGGGAUUAGAUACC